AGAGUUUGAUCCUGGCUCAGCAACACAACGCUGGCGGCGUACUUAACACAUGCAAUGUCGAACGAGAAAGGGAGCUUUGGCUCCUGAGUAAAGUGGCGAACGGGUGCGUAACACGUAAGUAAUCUACCUUAGACUCUGGAAUAACUCUCCGAAAGGGGGGCUAAAGGCUGGAUACGGUCCUCGAAGUGUAGUCGCGAGGGGAGAGCAGGCCUCUAUUAUAAGCUUGCGGUCUAGAUGAGCUUGCGUCCCAUUAGUUUGUUGGUGAGGUAACGGCUCCCUAGACGACGAUGGGUAGCUGGUCUGAGAGGAUGAUCGUGUCACGACUGGCACUGAGACACGGGCCAGACUCCUACGGGAGGCAUGCAGUGGGGAAUUUUGCCCAUGGGCGAAAGCCUGACGCAGUACGCCGCGUGGAGGACGAAGGCCUUCGGGUUGUAAACUCCUGUCAGAGGGGAAGAAGAACUUGAGCCUAGAAUACAUUUUCGAGUUCUGACGGUACCCUCAAAGGAAGCCCCGGCUAAUUCCGUGCCAGCAGCCGCGGUAAUACGGAAGGGGCUAGCGUUGUUCGGAAUCAUUGGGCGUAAAGGGCGCGUAGGUGGUCUUGUAUGUCCGUCGUGAAAGUGCACGGCUCAACCGUGUUUGGUCGGCGGAAACUGCAAGACUUGAGGCUGGGAGGGGCUGGAGGAAUUCCCUGUGUAGCGGUGAAAUGCGUAGAGAUAGGGGAGAACACUCGUGGCGAAGGCGUCCAGCUGGACCAGUCCUGACACUGAGGCGCGAAAGCGUGGGUAGCAAACAGGAUUAGAUACCCUGGUAGUCCACGCCGUAAACGAUGGGCACUAGGUGCCGGCGGUAUUGAUCCCGUCGGUGCCGGCGCUAACGCAGUAAGUGCCCCGCCUGGGGAGUACAGUCGCAAGGCUGAAACUCAAAGGAAUUGACGGGGGCCCGCACAAGCGGUGGAGCAUGUGGUUUAAUUCGAUGCAACGCGAAGAACCUUACCUGCCCUUGACAUCCUCGGAACCGCUCAGAGAUGAACGGGUGCCUUCGGGAGCCGAGAGACAGGUGANGCAUGGCCNUCGUCAGCUCAGGCUCGNGAGAUGGUUGGGCUAAGUCCCGUCAACGAGCGCAACCCUUGUCCCUAGUUCGCCAGCGGUUCGGCCGGGAACUCUUAGGGAGA
rnacentral:rRNA from 1 species